UGUGUACACACACGUGAGUGCCUACCGCU
rnacentral:piRNA from 1 species